rnacentral:lncRNA from 1 species
AAAGAAGUGCUGGAAAAUAGUUACAGAGUGAAGGAUUUCAUACAAAAGGGAUUUAGGGAUUAGGAACUACAAAGAGCCAAUGUACUUAGGCAUUAGUUGAUUCUGGGCAUGUACAGCAAUAGGGAUUUCUCUUAUGCUUGCAAAAUCAACCAGAAUACACAACAUAUGAUGGUAACAUAUAGGUUAUGAUCUAAGGAAAAUCAAGUUUGAGUCAUAGACAACAAUACUUAAUACCGUCAUGCCUCAAACAAGCCAUCAGUAUCGAACAUAUUGGGGUAGGGGUUUAGGAUGCAUAAUAGAUUCAGAACAGGCAGAAGGGAAUUACAACAUGCUUAGAAUAAAGUAUUGAAUUAAACACAAGCAAUAGGGAGACAAGAAAACAAAAGUAUAAAGUAGACAUAUUGUUUGUGAUGCUGAAAUCUUAAUCAGGACAUACACGUUAAAAGAAGAAAAAUUAUAGUAAAAAGCAGGUAGUAGGACUUCGAAGACAGGCUAUAGUACAAGUAAUAAGACAAAAUUCUUUUUGUGUAUGAGUGAUUUUAGAACUCAGAGUGUUUGCGUGAGUGUGUUAAUGAAAAGGCAGGUAUUUAUAGUUUGAAAAUAGGUAGAAAGUAAGGAAAGAAUCAUAGUUUAGUAGUAAUUAUGGAACUAUGCACCAAUUAAAAUCAAAUCAGUAUAAGACUUCCUUUAAUUAAGGAGUUAAAAUUAAACGGUAAUGGGUAGAAAACAGUUAAGGAAAGAAAACAAAUAGAACACCAGGUAUAGAAUGGAAAAUUAGGGGUAAGUACAUAGGGGUCCCAUUAUAUAAACAACUAUUGCAGAAUCAAUGAAGAUACCCAAUUAACAAAAUAAGGUAGGAAACACAAUAGAUUUGAAAAAUACGGAGAUAAUCAACUCCCAAUAAAUCAAGGAGUCAGGGAUUCGAAAUUAUUGAUUUUGGAGAGAAUAUCAUGGGUUCCCAUGGAUAAAUAAAGUCAAUAGCUGAUGAACUUAUCGAAACAUGGGAGUUACAUAGGUCAAUUUCACCAAAUCAGUAAUAGAGAAAAGAGAGAGUAUCAGAAGCAUCUAAUAGGUCAAGUAAAAUGACCUUUCUGAAAAAUAUAGUAGAAUUUCAAUGGUAGCGAUAAGUCAAAAUCAUAUAAAGAAAUAGAGGUUGAAACAAAAGAUUUCGAAAUUCAGUCGAGCAACAGAUGAAACAACCUUAGAAACUCGAAUAGGUCCCAAGCAAAUUAGGUUUUGAAACCAAUCAAAUUCAGAGCAUGAAAAACAAGUAAAUCACAUAGCAAAUAGUCUCAGAACUUGAAUGAACCCCAAAUUUUAGGGUUUUCACCAUCAAUCAAGUAUAGAGAUGAAAAACAAGUAAAUCAGAUAGAGAUACUAACAAAACAAAAUUCAGAAAUCUCAAAAAGGUUAAGGCCCUUAACAUACAAACUCAAGUGAAAGAACGACAUAAGGAAUCACAAUAGAACAUGUAGAAAAAUUAGAGAAAGCUUCGAAAUAACUUAACGAAACCCUAAAUCGGACAAGAUAAGGGGUUUUGAAGGUAAAGUUUCAGAAGAAACCUUGAGAAAAAAACGUUUAGAAGUUUAGAGCAAACACAUAUCUAAAUAGAUAUGAACGAAAUUAGAACAAUCUCAAAGACUAGGGUUUUAGUGGAAACCCAGAUAGUAUGAAAGGAUUGGAAAAACGUCGAUCUAAGCAGGAGAAGUCAAGAAGCAGGCUUGAAUAGCCAUGGUCGGCCAGAGCAAGGUUAAAGAUGACUAGAGACAGCCGUAAAAACUGAGAUCGACCAAAGUCUGGGCCAAGAUUCUUGAAAAUCUGGCCUAGAAACCAUAGUACUCUAACACACAUAAGCCAAGUGGGGGUGGAUACAGGCCUACAACGGCUUUAGAAUCAAUGGAUUUGGGAGAUUUUCAGAAGGUGGCUGAAGGCGGCGGCUGGGGUUUGAGAGGGGUCUGAG